rnacentral:rRNA from 1 species
UUAGGAAUCUUCCACAAUGGGCGAAAGCCUGAUGGAGCGACGCCGCGUGAGGGAUGAAGGCCUUAGGGUUGUAAACCUCUAAAAGAGGGACGAUAAUGACGGUACCUCUUGAAUAGCACCGGCUAACUCCGUGCCAGCAGCCGCGGUAAUACGGAGGGUGCAAGCGUUAUCCGGAAUCACUGGGCGUAAAGGGCGCGUAGGCGGUCUGUUAAGUCCGAUGUUAAAUCCCGGGGCUCAACCCCGGAUAAGCGCUGGAUACUGGCAGGCUAGACGGGUGGAGAGGCGAGUGGAAUUACCAGUGUAGCGGUGGAAUGCGUAGAUACGGGUAGGAACACCCAUUGCGAAGGCAGCUCGCUGGACAACACGUGACGCUGAGGCGCGAAAGUGUGGGGAGCAAACC